AUGACUGUAUUUCUGCUCUUUCUUGCCACCUGCCUCAGAGCCUCCAAAAGUGACUUUGGUAUCGGUGCCAAUCCCAUCCAAAAAACUGGAGAGUUACAUUCAGCUGUCAGUGUCCUGAAGGUCAAAAACACAGACUGGGACAGUAAAGCUGUUUAUACCUGUGAGGUGACUUACAGCGGAACACAAUAUAAAAAGAAGGCCUCAAAAGCUCCUAUCACAGUGACACUGAACCAACCAAGUCCCAAAGGAAUUUUCAGCAACAACCAGGCAGAGUUGGAGUGUAUCAUUACUGGACAGGACGAGACCAUUGUAAAUGAAAUUAAAGUCACUUGGCAAAUUGAUGGACAAGAUGUGACCGACAACAUUACUGAAACAACAAAGUCUGUUGAUGGUCAGCGCAUCAAAACCAGCACGAUGACUCGUAGUCGCACUGAGUGGCAGAGAGUCAACAAAGUGCGCUGUUCUGCCAUUAGAGACGAUAUGACUCCAGUUAUUCAAGAUCUGACUGUCCACAAAGGAGAUGGGCGUGAGCCAAAAGUGACAGUCCACGUCCUCACAGAGGAGGACAUCAACAAAGGAGCUGAGGUCACUCUGGUGUGUCUGGUCUCCAGUCCUGUGAUGCAGGAUUACUACAUCGCCUGGUCAGAAGAUGAAACCAACAUCUAUACUGAUGGCAUUAACUUCCCCCCACAGAAGACCCAACAAGGCUACUCAGUUACAAGUGUUUACACCACCACCAAGGAAAAGUGGAACAAGUUCAACAUGUUCAACUGCAACGUCUGGCCUGCUGGCAGCAAUGACUCCAUGAAACCCCGAGGAGUGUCUAAGUCCCAGGAUUUUCCUCCAGAGUCAAAACUGGGUUUUGCUCUGAGCUGCACAGAGGAUGCUAUUGAAGAGGAUGAGUUCAGCAGUCUGUGGUCCACAACCUCCUCCUUCAUAUUCCUCUUCAUAUCCUCUCUCUUCUAUAGCAUGAUAUUCAGCCUGGUCAAGAUGAAGAGACGAUAAAGGAUGAGAUGGAUGCACAGCGCAGACGACUACAGGUCUUCAUUUGUUUUUUUGUCUUUUUUAAAACAUGUACAUUAUCGAUGAUCUACUGUACAUCUGCUAAAUGAAAUGGUCGUCAUAUAUAAUGAUUAACUAAACACUGAAAAUGGAUUUCUCUGUAACCUGUAGAAAAAUCUAAAAUACAACUGCAAUUGUUGAUAUGAAUACAUUUGGAUUGUUGUUACAUUAUGAUUACAGAGGUUCUUGAUUACUUUUCAUUAAAAUGUGUUAGUGAAGUGUAGCAUUAACUUGUCAUUGAUAUGUAAAUAACAAAUUGUACUGUAGUAGAAACAGAAAUCUUUGCUUUUCAUGUUUGGUCAUUUUGUUGAUCAUAUUUGCUUUCAUCAUUAAUUCUAUAGAUAUGAUACUUACAAUAGAUGAGAUUUGUACAGACACAAACAUUAAAGGGAGUUUGAAUAUGAGUCAUAGUGUGCUUGUGAUCAACAUAAAAAGCUUCUGAGGAUUUUGUUCACAACAUCUAAAAUAACACCACAUCAAGUCAAUGUACUGUAAACUUCUGUUAUCAGUUAAGCUCUGAAGGUUUUUCAAUUUCCUGGAGUUUCUAAACAUAUCAUCUUUAGAGAGUCACUUCCCCUCUCUCUGCACCUCUGGGACCACACCUGUAGCAGUGAAACUUUGUAGAAACCGUCAGAGCUACGAAUAAACUUCCUCGAAGCAAGA